UGGGGAAUAUUGCGCAAUGGGCGAAAGCCUGACGCAGCGACGCCGCGUGAGGGAUGAAGGCCUUCGGGUUGUAAACCUCUUUCAGCAGGGAAGAAGCGAGAGUGACGGUACCUGCAGAAGAAGCACCGGCUAACUACGUGCCAGCAGCCGCGGUAAUACGUAGGGUGCAAGCGUUGUCCGGAAUUAUUGGGCGUAAAGAGCUCGUAGGCGGUUUGUCGCGUCUGCUGUGAAAACUCGGGGCUCAACUCCGAGCUUGCAGUGGGUACGGGCAGACUAGAGUGCGGUAGGGGAGACUGGAAUUCCUGGUGUAGCGGUGAAAUGCGCAGAUAUCAGGAGGAACACCGGUGGCGAAGGCGGGUCUCUGGGCCGUAACUGACGCUGAGGAGCGAAAGCAUGGGGAGCGAACAGGAUUAGAUACCCUGGUAGUCCAUGCCGUAAACGUUGGGCGCUAGGUGUGGGGCUCUUUCCACGAGUUCUGUGCCGCAGCUAACGCAUUAAGCGCCCCGCCUGGGGAGUACGGCCGCAAGGCUAAAACGUCAAAUGAAUUGACGGGGUCAUAGCU
rnacentral:rRNA from 1 species